GGCAGCACAGCGCUCAGCACCCAAGGGCACCGUGCCAGCCUCGCGUCUGCCCGGGAAACCGGGCUGCAACCGGCUGGCAACCAUGCCCCAAACCGAAAAAUCCAUUCUUCUACAACCUCGUUUGCAAGAGAAGAAGAAGAAGGAUCUUGAUUCAAGUGUUUAUGUGUUUAAUUUUUUCUCAUUCGUAUAGGUGGUCAUUGGACGCGUCUGGGAGGGAGAAAUAUUUUGGUCUUGCGUCAUUCGGGUUGUGCUCUUGCAUGGUUAUGAGAGCCCCCAACAGGAUAUUUCUGGACUGCUUCUCAGUAAUGUCUGGCUGAACUUGUUUCCAUGCUUCUGGAGAAAGUCCAGGACGGCAGAGAGCUCCUGGGGACAGGUACUGGCAGGCUGCUGCGAUCUGAGGCACUGUCUGUCCUAGGAAGAAAAUGGUUAAUUAAAAAUCACAUCCUGUGCUUCACAACAGUUUUGCUUGACUGAAAGACUUGACCCAAAUAAUAAUGAAAACUAACUGAAAAACAUUAAGUUUUAUAAUUCUUGUGAGGCAUAAAAACCAUGCCAGUUUACAAAAGAAUGCAACUUCCAGUAAAAUAAACAAAAAAAGGAUUGCUAAUAA